CUCAUAUAUAGCCAGGAUUCCGCAGGGCCAGAGUAGGGGAGUUGGUGACCACAGGCUCUGACUUAUUCAUCAUGUCCUGUUUGCUCACCAUCAAGGCCAGGGGCCUGCUCAUUGAGAGCUGAGAAAAUUUGAGUUUCCACAACAUCCACAGACAAUCUGGACCAUAAUCAAGUCAGUGCAGUCUAAAGCAAUGUUUCAAAUAUCCGAAGAUCCCCAUCCCAGCUCUGUCUUAUGAGAGAAACAAGGAAAGAGAGAAGGAAGGAAAGAAAGAGGGGAAGAGGCUGUGGGCAAGAUGGGAGAAGACAUCAAGAAACCCAAAGGCAAAGAAAAUGAUGGCUUUCAAGAAGAGUGGCAGGCCACACCUCUUCCCUUUGAACAACAAAUUCAUGUCACUUCUUUCCAAUAUCAAGACACCCGUAGGACACAAUAAUAUAUUUUCUCUCAGAUUUUUGUUAGAAUUCAGUCAAACUGUCUGCUUUAGAAUUUAUUAUCUCAUGACAUGAGCCUCUCAUUACAGGGUCACAUAUUUGAUUUAUGACAUCACCAGUUAAGUUGUUUCUAGUAUAACACUUACACAGUUAAAAUAUAUAAAUAUUUUUACAUAGAAGUUAUGAAAUUUCAAGUUGACUGAAUAACUGAACAACUAAAAACACUGGUUUUUUUAUAUUUGAAAAUGUAACUACAUGUGCAAGAAAAUUAUAGGUAAUAAAAUAAUAGUGAAGAAAAGAAAAAAAUAAGUGAAACAAGAAAAUAAGGAAACAAGUGGAUUACAAAAUUAUACAUUCUAGAGAGGAAAAACAGUCAAAUCAGAUAGGCAGAAGCAGGGAUACCUAAACGAACAUGGAUCAAUACAAGUUCUUCAACUACAUGAACACUGGUUGGGGGGGUCCCCAAGAAAGCAAAAUCCAAUGGAAAAUGUGACUGUAUUGGGUGGGUACCCUUUGUGCUAUUCAAAAGGACAAACAAUGCCGUGAGAAAUCUAAACCUACAAUGUAAUUGUUGACUCCAUAGUGUGACUAUAAAGUAGUGACAAAAUAAUUAUAUACUUGUUUCUAUUGUGUGUCAGAUAAAACAGCACAAAUUCUUGCACCCAUGUAUUACAAGAACAUCAAAGAACACGUUGUCAGUGUUCAAAUACGGCAAAAAGUUGAGAGGGAAGUUUUUCUGGUAAUCUCUCACAUUCAACAAACCACCGACAACAAGAUACUCCAAAGGAACCCACAGUGUGGGGCGAGAUGUAGGAAUUUCAUACACACAGACAAGAGGCAGGGGAGCU
rnacentral:lncRNA from 1 species